rnacentral:rRNA from 1 species
AUACGGAGGAUCCAAGCGUUAUCCGGAUUUAUUGGGUUUAAAGGGUGCGCAGGCGGAAGAUUAAGUCGGCGGUGAAAUUUUGCAGCUCAACUGUAAAAGUGCCAUCGAUACUGGUUUUCUUGAGUGUGGAUGAAGUAGGCGGAAUUUGUGGUGUAGCGGUGAAAUGCAUAGAUAUCACGAGGAACUCCGAUUGCGCAGGCAGCUUACUAGGCCAUAACUGACGCUCAGGCACGAAGGCGUUGGGAUCAAACAGGAUUAGAUACCCUGGUAGUCCGCGCAGUAAACGAUGAUUACUCGCUGUUUGCGAUACACAGUAAGCGGCUUAGCGAAAGCGUUAAGUAAUCCACCUGGGGAGUACGUUAGCAAGAAGGAAACUCAAAUGAAUUGGCGGGG